AUUUGGAGUUGUUCUGGCUAAUGUCAAAGACCACACACAAGGACAUGGACGUCAACGGUUCAUUCACAUGAGAUGACAGUUACCCAGGAUGAACCAACUGCAAAAAGCUGUCUGUGGAUGGUAACUGCAGGUGACCUGAAUGCAUGUGCCUCCUCCUUCUUUUUCCGCUUUUUGUCUUUUCCUUAAGCCUCUCUGAACAGUAUCUUCAGAAGUGUCUGUUUCCCACAGAGCAUGGUGUGUCCAAGAAAUACCCCACAUUCCCAUUGCCUUUGCUAUUUAAUGCUGUAGUUGGGAGAGGCAGUCUUGCUUUCUGCUUGCCUGUCUUUUUGGAGCACAUAUGAACUACAAAUAGAUACAGCCCACAUUUUGCCUCAAAGAUAUAUUCUUUGUUUUCUCCAAGUUGCCAAGUUGAACUCUAAGCUGAUGUUUAAUUUAUCUGUGGUAAUGAGGAACGGGGAUAGCCUUGCAUAAUUGGAAUCUGAAGAUAAGCCAAAAGCUUCUUUUAGCCAAAAUUCCUACAUCCUUUCCCACCAACUCUUUAUGCCUGUGUUGCUAACAAAUGGCAAAUUGACUAAUCUGAGUUUCACCAGUUCUUUGUGUGGUGUAUCUGACCUUUCACAAUGGGUUCAUACCAGAGUCCACUUCCAUGGUCCUUCAAGAUGUGGGUGUCUGGUUCUCAGGUAACCAACCAAAACCUUUGUACCUACCACUCAUGUAUAUUUCAGUUGAAGUUAGAAAAGCACCCCCUCAGUCUAUAGCUAACCUCUGGUGAAAUUGAGGAAUGAAUGAAUUGCUAAGCCAUCUAUAAAUAGAAUUCCGGGACAAUUCAUCUGAUGUGAGAGACAACCCUUUGAUAGGUUUCUGAGAAGAUGUGUGAAGCCACUACUCUCAAUUGUUCUUUCAUUUACUUUUUGCUAAUCAAAGCCCCAGACAUAUUCCAAAAUGUGAGAUGUUUUGGAAGAUUAACCAAAACACAAGCUGAAAUUUACCAGGGGCUCUGUAUAAAGUUAUACCCUUAGGCUUUUAUUCUCAAAGCCCUCCCAAGUACAGAAGUGUAGCAUGGGAUGAUGUGACAUAGAAUCGCAGAGUGGGAGGAGCCCACCAUACUUCAAUUCAGUGUAUCCAGAAGGAAAACUAAGGUUCACAGACUUGCUUAGGGGCUUAGUCAAGGGACUAUUUGUUCAGAACCAACAUUCAUACAAAGAGUCUUAAAUUUAAAAGGGGAUUUAUUUCAGAGAAACCUCAUGGAAACCAGUUGAAAGAGGGUUAGUGGGGACUUUCGGGAAGUGAAAAGUCGCUGGUUAAUUUCUCUGUUUCUAUCUCUGUGGGGCCUUGCAGAUUCUUUUCUUUGCUUCCGGGAGCCUUCUUCAUAUCUGCAGUGGAUAUGAGGUGAUAUGGUUUGGCUCUGUUCCCCACCCAAAUCUCAUCUCGAAUUGUAAUCCUACGAUCGCCACGUGUCAAGGGCAGAAACUGGUAGGAGGUGAUUGGAUCGUGGGGGCAGUGUGCUGUUCUCGUGAUAGUGAGUGAGUUCUCACGAGAUCUGAUGAUUUUAUAAAGGGCUCUUCCCCUUUCGCCAUUCACUCUGUCCUGCUGCCUUGUGAAGAAGGUGUCUGCUUCCUCUUCACCUUCUGCCAUGAUUGUCAGUUUCCUGAGGCCUUCCCAGCCAUGCUGAACUAACAGCUGGUACAAGUGGAUCUGCUCGGCACCUAUAACCUAAUUACCUCUCAGGCUCACACAAGUCUCUGGCCGCUAAGCGAAUGAUCUCCCAAAGGGAUUAUUCUCAAGCAGCACAGAAACUGUCCCUAUGCCUCAGGUGGCCCCAGAACUCUUUCGUACUAGAGACUUAUCUGUUAAUAAAGUUAACAAAGGAAAGUGGCCUUCCAAGAAUGUUUGUUUGGGCCACUACCUGGAAGAAAUAACACUUGACCAUGAGAGACUUGGCUGAGCAGUGCUGGGUCAGCUUAACCAAAGAAGACCAGCCAUCACCCACGGCAAGAGCAGCUCUGACUUGGACCCACUGUUCCCCCAGCCUGUUAGCAGCCUGUGAACAAUCUUUAAGUGACCCCUGGCCCUGUCACAUCUCCAUUCAACAGGGUUCUUGGGGAGGAUGUGUGGACCGAGAACAGUGCCCACCCACACCACCUGUAAGUGUGGCCACGGCAGCCAGCCAGCAUGGAUGCUAAGUAACAAGUGGUAUUGGGGCACAGAUGUGGCGGGAGCGCUUUGGGGCAAAGAAAGAGGUGCUGUGAGUGAGGACAGAAAGGAAGGGGAAAAAAAAGCCUCAUGGGUUAGAGCGCCUCUCACCUUUGGCUCUUCUUCAGAAGACUGGUAAAAGAAAACAAGAAGAGAAAUUGGUUUCCCUGACUUCUCUAAAGCAAGCGUUCUUCAGAAAAGAGAAUCGAUCAGCCUGGUUAAAGUGGAUAAACUAUGUGAUGUCCAUCCAGAGAGGUGUCUAUUAAUGGCUGUAAAAUGGAAAGAUGAAUCAAUGGGACCGAUUAAUAUUUAUGAAGAGUUGAACUAGGCAGAGUGAAAAAGCCUUGUAUAUUGGAUAAGAAAGGAAAAGCAUUGCACACCAUAGGAUGCGUUUGUUUGGCUAAGGUUUCUGUUUUGAUCACUGGGUAAUUGUAUAGAGCAGGGGCGUAUGGUAGAGAAAGAAAAUCUAUAUCUAGAAGUUAUUGACUUUAUGUACAAAAGCACUGGUUGGUGCCUAUUUUUGAGGACCACUCCAUCUUAAAAAUAACUUUGGUUUUGUACGGCCUAGUUGUGGUGGAAAAGGAGCUCCAAAGAGUAAGCAAGUUUCCUACAAAAAGAAUCCAAGCUGUUGAAACUACAAUUAAGAAAUGCAAAGAGUUACUAAUUUUACUACUUAGAGGAAAGGAAAUUCACAAGCAGGAAAGAAACUGUGGAUCAGGGCAAGUUGUAACUCUAGAGGUUCAGAGAUAGGAGCUCUAAUUACACCAGGGCAAGGGAGUACUGUUUGGGGAAAUUUCUGAAACAUGAAAUAGGAAAGCUGAGGGUCAAAAUGAUAUUGUGAUGUGAAUAAAUAGAGAAGACAUGUUUGCAUGGAGCUCAGCUGGGUAAUCAUGGAAAGAAGGAGGGGCGAAGGAGGAAACUGAAAAUCGAAAUAAAGAACAGAAGCACAGACCAUGAAAUAUGCCAAAUAUAGUGUGCAAAUACUCAGAAGGCAUGGAAAGAUAAGUUAGAAGCCAAAACUCAGUUAUCACUAUCGUGUGAAGGAACAAUAAAACUCUUAGCAAAAACAAAUGACUUAGCAUGAGACCAAUACUGCUUUCCUUAGGUAGCUUGGUCCAGAGGGAAAAGGCUGAUAUCACUCCCUAUCAAGGGUUUUUAGACGGUUUAAGUGAGCUCUGCAAGUGGGAGACACGGUGAUGAUUAUUGACAGUUGCUAUCUUUCAAGGGGGAGAAGCAAACUGAUGUUACACAUUAGAAUUAGUUAGCACCACCGAACACAGGUUACAAAAAUACUGGGAGGAAUUCUCUCUCCUGAGCACAUUACGCAAUAUUUGCAAAUGUGUGCAGGUAAGUGUUGACUCUCUCAUCAUGCUGGACCUGGAAAUGGUUCUCAGCAAAUCAUGGCAUGAUUUCUUUUUCAAAGUUGGGUACACGAAUAUUAUCGUAACCAGCUAAGAGCAGGGAGACGUGGCAUGGGAGACUAACAGAUAGUGCAGCUUUUAAGAGAAGACGUAGAAAUCAAUCUAGUAACAAAUAUUUAUUAAGCAUUGGAGUGUGCUAGGCACCAAGAGAAAAGAAACCUCCACAGCUGAUAAAGCCUUUCAAAAUAAUGUCCUCAGUUAAUUUGCACAUUUCCAUGAGGUAGGUGUUGUUAGCCAUUUCCGUUAAUGAGAAAAAAAAAAAUGAGAUUCAGAAAGGUUAAUUAAAUUGGAGAUCUCCUGAUUUUUUAGUUUUAUAUCCUUCCCGUGUCCUUUCCAGGCUUAUAUUCUGGUCCUAUCACUUCUCAGCUGAGUUACUUCAACAAGUUAUUUAUUCUCUGUGUUCCCAGCUGUCAAAAUGAAAAUGCCAGUACCCACCUGGUAAGGAGUGAGAGAACAUUUAUAAAAAUGCUCGGCUGGGUACCUGACACAUAGGAGGUCCUCAGUAAAUUUGUUUUCUCCCUUUCUUCCUGAAGUACGGUGGCAGAGGGAUUCAGCCAGCCAGCCUGGGUAGCACAAGCCAUGAUGCCCUGCUGAAUCUGUGUUCUAGGGUCGGACAGGGGGAGUCCUUUUGCCUAGAGGGAUGGUGUGCGAGGCCUAAGAGGACUUGGGCAGAGUCUUGAAGGACGAGCAGGAUUUGCUGUGGUGGAGAGGUGGUCACGGGUUGAGCAGAUAGGAGAACCAAGGAAUCAAGGCAGGGAAAGAGAGGGGAUGCAUGUGAAGGGCCAGGAGCUGUUAACUAGUUUGCUAAGCAGCAGGCGAGGAUUUAGAAGGAGUUGGAGAAGUGUGGAGGGAGCUGAGGCUCUUGUGAGGGGAACUUUUAUGCUAAGGGUUCCAACUUGGCCCUGUGAAUGAAGGUGAGCUGGGGAAGGUUUGUGAACUUGGAGUCUCACCUGUAAAAGAUUAAUCUGGUGCCAGUGUACAGAAUGGACCGUCAAGGAAGAGGUGGAAAAACAAGGAAAAUUUGUAUUUUAUAGACACACACACACAUAGACACAGAGCCCUUUUUAUUAGAAAACAUAUAAUCAACUUAACCCCAUUUUAAAUGGCUUGGACAUUAAUUUUACUCUUGUAAUUGAUUAUAGAGGUUUAAAACUGUUGUGUUUUUGCCUUUGUGACAUAUUAUGGCUGUAUCUAAAAUUUAUUUGAUGUUAAAUCAAGAACAAAACUCUUCAAUUCUAUUGUUGUUCCUAAGGUAAAAUAUAAUCUACUUUGAGUCAAUUCACUGUGUCAUAAACUUUCCAGGAAUGGGAAACUUGAUAAAAAGCAGAGACUCACUGCAUAUGACAAUAAUUAAAUCUAUAUUCAACAAGUAUAAAAGAAUGGUUGUAGGGGUGAGCAAUUUGGAAGAAAAAAAGCCACUUGACUUAAAUAUGACAGAAAAUCAUACUGAGGUCUGACACCCCAUGACCUUUUUUGAGAUUUGAGGUUAUGCCAUGUAUUUGAGAAUAAAUAAAAUCCAUUUAAGUGUCUAUAUUAUUAAAUGAAUCGUAUUUUCAGAAAGCAUUAGAUAAAGUCUGUUUUAGACCUUGGAAUCCAUUUUUCUCAUGAACACAAUAUCGUAAAUAGAUGAGAAUUGAGUUCCCAGUCUAUAAAACCCUUAUUAAAUCAUCAUGUAGCUGAACUAUUCUAUAUUGGCAAUCAAUAGAGUUGAGUAAUCUUUUCAUAGUCACAGUGAUAAAAAAACAAAAAAUAUUGAAGAAGUAAUUUUUCAAAAAAUAGAGGUAUAGCACGUUUAAUUAUGGAUUAAGAGGCCGAUAAAUAAUUUUGUGGUGAUUCUGAAGAGACUAUCUGGGCACUUUCAAAAGCUUUAGAGUUGAUAAACUGUUCUUAUUAUGUCUAAUUUAAUAUUCAAAAUUUAUGACCAUUCAUUCAUUCAUCAAACAUAACUUAGAUAUCUACAAUAGGUAUUGUGCUAGCCGCUGGAGAUUUCAAUGUAAUGAAACAGUUCCUAACUUAAAGAAAAGCAGCACUUGAAAUUUUACUAAUGCAUUCAGUCAUUUACUUAACAGAUACUGAAUGUUUGCUACCGUGAGUCUAUUAUUCCUAUGCGUAUCAACUCCCAGGAAGCAUGUGUAGCUCGCUGAUGGAAUACAGAGAAAUAUUCCUGAGAGAAUACCAAAAAUAGUCCGUUUGUGCUACUAAAACAAAAUGGCUGAGACCGAGUAGCUAGCUUAUAAAGAACAGAAAGCUAUUUUCUCACAGUUCUGGAGGCUGGGAAGUCCAAGAUAAAAGCACCAACGGGUUUGGUUGUCUGGCAAAGGCUUCUCUCUGUUUCCAAGAUGGUGCCUUGUUGCUGUGUCCUCCAGAGGGAAGGAAUGCUGUGUCUUCACAUGGCAGAAGGCUGAAGGGCAAGUGAGCUAACACUGUGUGAAGCUUAUUUUAUAAGGACCUUAAUCCCAUUCAAGAGGGAG
rnacentral:lncRNA from 10 species